AUAAAUUUAUUUUUGAUGCAAGUAUAACAAGUGGCAGCAGAAGUGUAGGGUAUGAGAGUCCUUCGUGAGAUCGGCUUGUGUAUCUGACAACCUGUGUAAUCGGACAUCAUGUAAAGUCCAGGUUAAAAUGGAUAGGUGUAAUAUGGAACUUUCCAUGCUGCAAGUGUCGAUAAAGAUUUUGGGGCUGUCUUGAAAAUGGCUCGAUUGGUAAAGGAUGUCUCUCUUAAGGCACAAAAGGUUACCUCUGAUUCAGUUGUCAAGGCUCCAUAAAAAAACUCUUAUAAUUCCAGCUAAUUUGUGCAAAUUGUGGCUAAGGUCUUUGUCCGCACUCUUCAUUUUAUAGGUUUCUAUGUACAGGAAAUGUAUGAUUGAAUCAGGUAUAAAUUAUUGUUUAUUUAAUUGAAUAAGGGAUUUACCAUGAUUGGCCAGCAAUAUUGGUGUUAUGCGGCCUGUGGUGGUGAGUAUACUCUAAUAAGACAUGGCCUUUGCUUGAAGGGAUUUUCCCUUUCUUAAAUCAGGUGCGAGAUUAGGUGGGGGAUUUGGAAGGAUGAAUUUGGCUUCGUAUUAGCUGACAUUUUGAAGCAAUAUGAAAUAUUUUUCGAUGAUUUAUUACUCUACGCACUAAUUUUUUAGGUUAA